rnacentral:rRNA from 1 species
UACGGAGGGGGCGAGCGUUAUUCGGGAUUAUUGGGCGUAAAGGGCGCGUAGGCGGCUGUACAAGUCAAAGGUGAAAUCCCUCGGCUCAACUGAGGAACUGCCUUUGAAACUGUACGGCUUGAGGCCGGGAGGGGGUAGCGGAAUUCCCAGUGUAGCGGUGAAAUGCGUAGAUACUGGGAGGAACACCAGUGGCGAAGGCGGCUACCUGGACCGGUUCUGACGCUGAGGCGCGAAAGCGUGGGUAGCAAACAGG